rnacentral:lncRNA from 1 species
CUAUCAUGGGCAGACACUAGACCUCACCAUGAUUCAAAUCCAUUCAGUCAUGUAUUCACUCCUUCAUCCAACACACAUUUUAAUGGCCCCCUGCCAUGUGUCAGCAUAGGGCCAGGUGCUAGAGACACACCAAAUGUGUGUCCCAACCCCUACUGUUGAGGAGAUUAUAGGUUAGUAAGAAAGUUAAGGUAUAUGAUGUAAACAGUGACAGUAAAAAAAACAUAAAAAAGUAAUGUGUGAUAAGGAGAGUGCAAGUAAAAUCCUAGAUACGAGGAAGAUAAUUUGGGGAAGAGUAGUUGUUUCUUAAUAGGCAAUAUCGUGCAACGGCUGAGAGUACAGACUCUGGGACAACAGACCUGGGUUCAAAUCCUGUCUUUGCCACCUACUAACUAUGUAACUCCACAGAGAAAUGAAGAGAAUCUUGAGGUUCUUGUAAAGAUCAAGUGUCCAGCUGCUGUGGAUGUCGGCUGCUAUACUCAGGGAAAGUGGCAUAGAAAAUGGGUUUUCUGCAUGUGUGGAACAGGACCUGCUGGGAGUAGAGAACACCUGGCCCACAUGGCUCUGGCAGUUCAAGCACAUGAAGCGUCUUUUCAGCUGUGCCUUUGCUGAAUGACAGACUUGUCACCCCUGGCCACAAGCUAUGAGAUGAACUUAACUGACCUUCCCUCCCUCCCCAAGGAAGAGAGUUAAAACCCAGUGACACAGUGACCUAUCACCCUUGUUGGACAGGAUCUUCUCAGACCCAGACUCCGCCUUCCUGUUCCUGAUCCUGCAGCACAGAGUCUAAGCUGCCACACAAGGUAUCAGGAGGAUGGAUGGUCUGUACUGCAAUAACAGAAAACACAGCUCAGACUGGCUUAAGCAAUAAAAAGAAUCUACUGGACCAUGAGGAUAAAACAGUUCGCCAUGGGUGGGCAAAAGCCCACCCAGGGUCCGAUCAAUUUCCUCUGAGUUUUUUGUUUUUUAAGAUUUUAUUUAUUUAUUCAUGAGAGACAUAGAGAGAGGCAGAGACACAGAUGAGAGAGAAGCAGGCUCCCUGUGGGGAGCCUGAUGCAGGACUCAAUUCCAGGGUCUCAGGAUCACGCCCUGAGCUGAAGGCAGAUGCUCAACCACUGAGCCACCCAGGCGUCCCUCCUAUGAGUUUUU